UGAGUCAUUCAUCAGAAGUAUGAGCAUUGACCUCUGCAUCUUUCUACUUUAAGAGUACAAAAUUUAGAAUAAAAGCUUUCGGCUUUCCUUAUUCCAUAGUCUAAUCACAAACAUACGUAACAUGAUAUACGUAUACAAUUGGUAUAGUACAUCAGACUCCCAAAAGGAGCUUCUCCAAACAACCAAAGCCUCUCUCCCAAUUGCCCCCCGUCCCCAUCUCCUCCACCUCCUCCUCGCCCCAACGUUCCUCUCCUCCCCAGAUCCCCUCCACGAUCUCUUCCAAGCUCGCCGGAAACCCUUCCCCGCCGACGGCCGGCUCCCCCAGGAUCGCGUCCAGGACUU
rnacentral:lncRNA from 1 species